ACACGCACACAUUUAUCUCUGUUAUCUUGACAAACGAUAGCGAUGACGACUACGGCGAUGUAGUACCUAGGUCAGUUAUUGUCAUCCCUUACUAUCCCGUGAUCAGACAAAUAUUGCUAUCCUUGUCUCCUUUCUAACCGGCAUGCAUCGCACGCAUAGAACGCGUGAGCGACCGCAUAACAUCUUGACAAGCUAUAGCAAACCGGUAUUUAUUACGUCCCUUAUGUGACCGCCGCCGCGCGCCGCCACCGGUGAAGUUGGGGUUAGUAUUUUGCAUGUUUUGUUUGAUAAUUUGUUUACAGUUUAGUGCAAACUAUGGUCACGAUCGGUGUUAUUUUUGGUUGUUAAAAUAUUGUGAGUGCUCUAUACGCAAAUGAAUAUUCAAGAUGUUAUAUUCUAAAAGAUAUUAGUGGAUGCAGAUAAGAGUGUUUAGUGAGUGCUAUGUUUGAAUAUUGCAAGUGAAAACACAGCCUAUCGAUGUAAUGCGCCGAUAAAUUAUCAUGACUCCAUUGAUGUAAUGUGCUUAAAAACUGCAAUGGCUCCGAAUACAUGAUUACCAGAUAACAAAUCCUGGCGCAGCUUACGUGUGUUCUUCAAUAACGUCGCAAGCUACAGUGGCUGUUGAUAAUUUUUGCAAGUUCUACACCUACAGGAUUCAGUUAUCUGGGCAUUAUAGAUACCCUAUAAUCACCUACGAAGUUAUUUAGGUAUAUUUAUUAAAACCAUUAUACAAGGUGUGGCAAAAAGGGUAUACUAAGCUGAAAGCUACAUGUGCAGCAUGGUAUAUCUAAGCCCGAAACUGAAAACAGAAUUUAAAUAUU